UUCACAGCUGGCUUACUUGGGAGACAUAGGGGCAAAGAGAGAAAGGGGAGGAGGUGGUAGUUAUUUAUUUUGUGCUUAUGCAUGAAGCCUUCUGUUUUUAAGGUUCUGCUCAUUACAGUUUUCUAUGUAUUUUUGUUUAUUUGUGCCUUACUCAGGCCUGUGUCUUUUUUGAUUUUUACAUUAGUAGCGUAUCAUCAGUGUGCUUUUUUAUUUUUUUUUCCCCAUUUUGUUUUUGAGUCUUGGCCUUCUUGAUAAUGGGUUCUAGUCUCGCUUCCAGCACUCUGUGAUCAUACCUCUGACAGACAACUGAAGCCCAGCAGCAUGACAGUUCUUUUCCACAUGACUCCAAAAUCCUAUAGGAUGGUGGCAGAGAAGCCCUGACAGUCUGAGAAAGUUUUCUGGGAAAGUGGGAGAAGUUGAAACAGAAGUGAGCAAGUUGUCAACAGAGGAGCCUGAGGAUUCUGGUUCAUCAUGGUGAAGAGAUGGAACACAUGGGCACAGGACUAGCUGUAUAUCCCAGCAUUGGAGAUCUGCUACGAACUUUGAGAUUGUCAUACCUUUUAUUGCAUUGAAGCAAGGAGAAAUAACCAACAUAAUGACCUGUGAGGAGAAGUGCAGGAGGUGUCUGGACAAGGAUGUGGUGUUUGCUGGUUGAGAAAAGGAUAUGCAGUGUGUAUUGAGGACAUACUGUGGGCAGUCUUUCUCACAGUCUUACAUUUUGAGGAAUAUUGUGAACUGGAAUAUUGCAUUACAUUAUCAUUUGAAGAACUUGGUCAAGAUUUCUCAAGUGUGCAAAUGAAGUUCUGUUUUGUGAUUUUUGAUUCCAGAAGAGGGAAUGGGAAAGGGAGAUACGAAGAAGUCAUGUGAAAUCCAGGGAUGAGAUGAGGCUGUGGAAGCAAAAUUUCUAGGAAGGUUCCUGGAGAAGAGGGUAGGGGGAAGAGAAGAUGAACUGGGAAGAAUGGGAGAGAAGAUUGCCCUAUCCCUUCUGGGAAAAGAGAGAUGAAGAGCUGGCCCAAGGAUUUUGAGAACAGCAUUGUUAAUGAGUAAAAGGAAGACAGUAGAUGUGGCAACAGCACCCACCCCAUGUAUCUACUGCUGAUGCGCUUCAGAAAAGUGUAUGAGGAGAUUGUUCAGAGUCCUUUAACUUUGAAUCAAAUUAGUACGUCUUACCUGAUUUGAAUGGUUAAGUCUGAAAACCAGAUGUUUCCUUCAAUCCAGCCAUGAAUGCUUCCACAAUCACAGCCUGAGACUUGCUUAGUUUGUUCAUUUACUUGGCUUGUUCUCUUACACAGAAUAGAGGAAAGAUACUUUACAAGCAUUUGAAUAGGGAAUUUACUCAAUGAGAAAUGAAUUCAUAAACUUUUACUGAGUAAACAAUGGCAUCAAUUACUCAUUUUGGAUAUGUUGAUUAUUGAACACCCACGUAUGUCAAAAUCCUGGCUUUGGGAUGUAGAUGAGAACUCACACGUCUACGAAGAAGCAAAUUCACCUUGAAAAACAGACAUCUCAUAUUUUGGCACUCAGUAAGUUGUAAGUCCCAUGUUGGAGACUGUCAAUGGACACCAUGCAUACCACACAGCAUGGAAAAAAAAAUAAAGAUGAUCUACAGAGUACUCAGCUAUGGAAUAAGUAAAUAAGUGAUGUAGUGAUGUGAUGUUUGAUUUUUGUACCUGUUAUGUUUUCUGUGUAUCGUGGCUACCACCAGCAUUAUGAGUUUUGUCACUGGAGCUAUAGAACUUUUUUUUUUUUAAGACUUUAUAGAAGCCUUAACUGUCUCAUAAUUAAUUCCUACCAGAGCAUCUCUUUGUUGCUCUGACAAGAAAAGCUAAGCAGCAUUAAUAUCUAACCUGGAAAUUAGCACUGAAAUAGGUCUAAAAAGAAUGUGUGUUUGUUGGUUAAGGUCACAAAGGUCACAAAUUUUCUGCUUUCUAAUGUAUCUCUGGCAAAGAUUCCUGGAUCUCUCCAUUGGCAAUGCUACUAUGAAGGAGCCUGGAGUUAACAGGGAAAAAAAGAAAGGGAAGGAACUGGGAUACCAAAGCAAAACAGUUUACAGCCUUCUUUCAUGCACACACUAGCACAAAUAAUAGAAGAGGAUUAAAUUUAAUCUGCUUAGAAAGGGAGUCAAAAUUUAAAUAAGGUAAAACUCAGAGAGAAGGAAAAGAGACAGAAGCAGGAUCGCUCUUAAGGCAGUUAGUCAGCAAAGUGCCCAUUAGUUAACUGCUAACAUGGCACAAGACACAACAUUGUAUUGAUUUUACUUUAUUUUAUUGGUAAAGGGAAGCCUUAUAUAUGUGUGUAAACUGCAUUUCUGCAGGUUAAUCUUAGCGACAUAUUUCUACAACAUAAUUAAUGCGAGCAUCUGUGAACGAUUUAAAAUCAGAAGAAAUACAGAUAUUUCAUAGAGAGUAAUUCUACUCCAGUCCUCUGCUAUUCAAGAGAUAAGAGCUGAAAUGCAGCUUGGAGAGAGACCCAGGGGAAUAACGUGCAUUGGAACUUUAUGUACAGAAGCAAGAAUGAGUCCCCUUUCAAUGGAAAGUCCUCUUACAAGGUUAUGUUGAAGAAUAAGGUCAUUUCACAUUUAUUCCAGUUAGAAGAACACUCCAAAACUCCUGAAGAAUAUGAAGUAUAAGAAUUAAUUAAAAUACAAGGGAAAGGUGCUUCUGUCUGGAAGACAAAUAGUGCAACUGGUGAUGCUUAUGCAGGGGCAGCAGUAGACAGGCUGUCAAUUUCUACUUGGAAAAAUAGUUUUCUCUGCUUUUCUAACUUUCUUUAUAAGUAACUGUGGUAACUGCAAAAGUAGAACAGCACACAGCAGCAUACACAGAUGCCUGCCUAUAAUGCUGUGUUUGUAUACAUUCAGAACACCCACGUAUCCUGUGCUAAUAAUGUGUUGAUUUGUAGUUUAAGCUGGCAUUAGGCACCCAUUGGAUUUCAUGCGUAGAUAAUGAGGAAUUCAGAGAAUUGGCAGCUCACAGAGAUAACACUACAGUUCAUCUGAAAGGGACUCUUUUGGCACUGCUGCUUGGCAAACAGUACUUCUUUGGUAGAGAAAGGGUGCUCAUCUGAAGCAUGGCCUCAGGUCUCUUGCUCUUAUGUCUGGCAGAAUUCACGUGCUUUUGGGAUGACCUGCAACUAUGAAAAUCAAGUUCUGAGGCUUCACUAAUGACAUUGGCUCAGUGCUCCAAUGUGAUCUUCUGCCCAGGCUUCUGACAGGCUUCAGAGGAUGUUGCUUAUCAACUUUCCCAGCAAAAAGAAGACAGAUUUUAUGUUCAUAUGGACGUAAAUUUUUGCAGAUGCCAGAGGAAGAGGGGUGGGAGGAGAGCAAGUUGUUAUGUUACCUUCACAUAGCAUGUUGAUUAGGAUAGGCUACUCAUGGCUAAGAAGCCACGGUAGUCUUUUCUGGAUUAUCCCAGAAAAGUUGCUAUUCCUUUUUUCAUCUAAGAUUAUACGUGAGAUCACUGAAUAAUAAUCUAAGCCUCCUCAAACUGAGAUGUGAAUGAAAAUCACAGUGGUGAUUAGAAAACACUAUAUUCCUAUAUUCCUAAUCUGUUGCAAAGAGAGAGGUAAAAGCUUGGAGAGUCUAGAUUUCAACUGAAAAAAAGACAUCGUUUCUUCACACCUAGAAAAUAGUAUAUAGACUAGAAGCUCUUAAGAAUAUUUUGGGGCUUAGCAGUACUUGUUCUCAGCACUGAUUUCAACUAGCUUCUCAUAUAUUUGGCUGGAAAAUGAAGCCAAUAAAUGAGUUUUGAUAACAUUUAAAACAGUAAUUCAAGUUUGCUACUAUCAUUUCUGGAAAUAGGACAAACAUAUUUAUGGCCAAAAAAAAAAAAAAAAAAAAAGCACUGUCAAG